rnacentral:rRNA from 1 species
CUACGGGAGGCUGCAGUUAGGGAUAUUCGGCAAUGGGGGAAACCCUGACCGAGCAAUGCCGCGUGAAUGAAGAAGUAUUUCGAUAUGUAAAGUUCUGUUGUUAAGGAAGAAAGGUACGAAUAGGAAAUGAUUCGUAAUUGACGGUACUUAACCAGAAAGCCCCUGCUAACUACGUGCCAGCAGCAGCGGUAAUACGUAGGGGGCGGGCGUUAUCCGGAAUUAUUGGGCGUAAAGGGUGCGUAGGCGGCCUGUCAAGGCCGAGUUGAAAGCCCACGGCUUAACCGUGGAGGGUGCUCGGAAACUGAUAGGCUUGAAUCCAGAAGAGGCAAGUGGAAUUCUAUGUGGAGCGGUGGAAUGCGUAGAUAUAUGGAGGAACACCAGUGGCGAAGGCGGCUUGCUGGGCUGGUAUUGACGCUGAUGCACGAAAGCGUGGGGAGCAAACAGGAUUAGAUACCCCGGUAGUC